GACGAACGCUGGCGGCGUGCUUAACACAUGCAAGUCGAACGGAAAGGCCCUUCGGGGUACUCGAGUGGCGAACGGGUGAGUAACACGUGGGUGAUCUGCCCUGCACUUUGGGAUAAGCCUGGGAAACUGGGUCUAAUACCGAAUAGGACCACGCGCUUCAUGGUGUGUGGUGGAAAGCUUUUGCGGUGUGGGACGGGCCCGCGGCCUAUCAGCUUGUUGGUGGGGUAAUGGCCUACCAAGGCGACGACGGGUAGCCGGCCUGAGAGGGUGACCGGCCACACUGGGACUGAGAUACGGCCCAGACUCCUACGGGAGGCAGCAGUGGGGAAUAUUGCACAAUGGGCGCAAGCCUGAUGCAGCGACGCCGCGUGAGGGAUGACGGCCUUCGGGUUGUAAACCUCUUUCAAUAGGGACGAAAGCGCAAGUGACGGUACCUAUAGAAGAAGCACCGGCCAACUACGUGCCAGCAGCCGCGGUAAUACGUAGGGUGCGAGCGUUGUCCGGAAUUACUGGGCGUAAAGAGCUCGUAGGUGGUUUGUCGCGUUGUUCGUGAAAACUCACAGCUUAACUGUGGGCGUGCGGGCGAUACGGGCAGACUAGAGUACUGCAGGGGAGACUGGAAUUCCUGGUGUAGCGGUGGAAUGCGCAGAUAUCAGGAGGAACACCGGUGGCGAAGGCGGGUCUCUGGGCAGUAACUGACGCUGAGGAGCGAAAGCGUGGGGAGCGAACAGGAUUAGAUACCCUGGUAGUCCACGCCGUAAACGGUGGGUACUAGGUGUGGGUUCCUUCCUUGGGAUCCGUGCCGUAGCUAACGCAUUAAGUACCCCGCCUGGGGAGUACGGCCGCAAGGCUAAAACUCAAAGGAAUUGACGGGGGCCCGCACAAGCGGCGGAGCAUGUGGAUUAAUUCGAUGCAACGCGAAGAACCUUACCUGGGUUUGACAUGCACAGGACGCCGGCAGAGAUGUCGGUUCCCUUGUGGCCUGUGUGCAGGUGGUGCAUGGCUGUCGUCAGCUCGUGUCGUGAGAUGUUGGGUUAAGUCCCGCAACGAGCGCAACCCUUGUCCUAUGUUGCCAGCGGGUUAUGCCGGGGACUCGUAGGAGACUGCCGGGGUCAACUCGGAGGAAGGUGGGGAUGACGUCAAGUCAUCAUGCCCCUUAUGUCCAGGGCUUCACACAUGCUACAAUGGCCGGUACAAAGGGCUGCGAUGCCGUGAGGUGGAGCGAAUCCUUUCAAAGCCGGUCUCAGUUCGGAUCGGGGUCUGCAACUCGACCCCGUGAAGUCGGAGUCGCUAGUAAUCGCAGAUCAGCAACGCUGCGGUGAAUACGUUCCCGGGCCUUGUACACACCGCCCGUCACGUCAUGAAAGUCGGUAACACCCGAAGCCGGUGGCCUAACCCUUGUGGAGGGAGCCGUCGAAGGUGGGAUCGGCGAUUGGGACG
rnacentral:rRNA from 1 species